CGUACACACCGCCCGUCACACCAUGGGAGUGGGUUGUACCAGAAGCAGGUAGUUUAACCGCGAGGGGGACGCUUGCCACGGUAUGAUUCAUGACUGGGGUG
rnacentral:rRNA from 1 species